GAAAGUUUAAUUUGCAUGAACCCGUAGCUCGAGGGGUAUUUUGUGUUGGGUCAAUAAAUAGUAGCAGCAAAACCAUAUUGGAUCUUGAUAUUGGUUGUAGAAAUCGCCGGGUCCAACAACAAGACUACAUAUGCCAACAACAUGAUCAAGACACUUGAAUAAAGAAUGAUAGAAACAUCGUGAGAGCUCAUGUCUCAAAACCACUUCAUCGUCAAAAUAUUUUUGAUAAGCUAGAUAAAUUCACCAGAUCAUAGGGGUCACUAAGAAAGCCAAGUAGGAAUCUGAGCCGAGCCAGUGCUUGGACAAAGUUAGGACAUCCGUAAAAUAUUAGAGCUUCAAGCAUCACAAAUGGCAUGAUAAAAACAAAGAUAUAAUAAUGAUUCAUCUGAUUAAAGCAUGAAAGAUGAAUAGUUGAGAUUAAUUUCAUGAGUAUUGAAUGGUUUGAGAAAACCUCCAAGAAGGUAACAUAAAUAUUCUAGUUAUGGUUUUUCUCCCAUGACGUUACCUCCUAAGGAUUUUCUUGACCCGCAAAAUAAUGAUCCCUUGUUAUCUUAUUUGGUGUCGCAAACAUAAAUGAUAUAUGAAUAUCACUAAAUGAAAUAUAUGUGAAUUAGUCUGCUUUUUAGGAACGACCGAACUACUUCCAACUCUAAGAUUACAAAAUAUGGAAAAAAAAAGUAAUUCAUAUAUUAAUUUAGUAAAAAUGAUCUGCACCCUAGUUGGAGUUACAUAAAGGAGCGUGUGUAUGGAAAUUUAAAAGCUGCAAAAAUGUAACUGCAAUAGCAUAAAUCAUUUAAUAUAAAUAUUAAUGGUUAUUGAUUCAAUAUGAAGUGGGAUAUCCUUUCCUUCUGCGAGACCUUCAAAAUUCUUAAGAUUAAAUGAAUUAGAUUAGAGAAAAUACGAUACAGGAUAGUAUGUACCUUUUGGACAGAAUUUUGAUACCGAGGAUAUAUAUGCUAAGCACAAGAGUUGCAGCAAGGGCGAGCUCAUUGACUGCGCCCAGAGGCAGGGCCGAAUGUGGGGCUAGUGCUCGUGCCGCGCAGCCUGGGCUUCUCCUUGGCUAAUGUAAAAAAGAUCCUACCAAAGAAAAGAAAACAUAUUUAUAGGAUUGAGAUGGAGCUCACGCCUAAUAGCCUGAUUGGUACCAUUGCAAAUAGCCGGCUCAUGAAUUCCUCUUCCUGAAAAAUUCCAGAACCAGCCUCCAAUAGUCCCCAAACCAAAAUACCACAGCCUGCAGCAAAAAGGAGAAGAAAAGACAGAUUUAGGAUGAGUCGAACUAAUCAGAGGGAGAAGGUAGCAGGGGAGGGAAAAUAUGCAGAUAGCAGCAGCCUAGGGGAGAAGAAUGGUUGAUGGAUCUUGUAUUGCCGGAGGAGGAAGAAGGGGAGAAGAUAUGGAGCGCCGGACCUCUACCAUCCGCCGCCACGGUGCUCCCUCGACUGCCAUUAAUUCCUAAACGAAACGGAAAACUGCUCGACUCCUCGCCUUAAAAACACGACGGAUGAACUCUCCGCAUCGGCCGGUGAGGCCCGCGCCAGGUCGGUCGCUCGCCACUGCUUCAAGAGGCGCCGCCUCGCCCUCCGGCCCACAUUCCGAGCCGCCUCUCGUACACGCGGUGGAUCAAAUCGGAGCUCAGAGACAGGAGGCGGUGGGGAUCGGGGCGCGGAUCGGAUCCGGGAGGCGGAGGUGAUCGGGGCACGGG
rnacentral:lncRNA from 1 species